UAUAAAAUGUUUUUUUUUCUUUUCUUAUUCAGUAAUUUCAAAUGAACCAUUUUGGAACAUGACAAAGCAGAGUUCACAGCCCUUCUGGUUGGGUCCACCAUCAGUAAACCAGUCCACACCAAUAAUGUGGCAAUAGCAGAUAUUAGGGUCUAUGACUCCACACUCUAUUAUUCUAUUCGACACACAAGACUAAAACAGCUGGAGAAGUUGCUAUUCGUUCUGGAUCAAGGAAAUAUUAUACAUCAAAUACAUAUUACAGCACCAUUACAAUCUAAGGUGUGUUGGGGCAAAUGUACCUCUUUACCACAGGUAUGCGGUGUGUGGAGGAAAGUACCUGUCCUGUAUCAGCAGUACCUGUGGGACAAACGUGUGUCGAUCGUCUUGACGACAGCGCCUCAUCCAGACGGCGAAGUCAAAGGCCGAGUUAUAACAACCAAUGAUAAAC